rnacentral:rRNA from 1 species
UCGGGAAUUUUGGGCAAUGGGCGAAAGCCUGACCCAGCAACGCCGCGUGAGGGAUGAAGUAUUUCGGUAUGUAAACCUCGAAAGAAUGGGAAGAAUAAAUGACGGUACCAUUUAUAAGCUCCGGCUAACUACGUGCCAGCAGCCGCGGUAAUACGUAGGGAGCAAGCGUUGUUCGGAUUUACUGGGCGUAAAGGGCGCGUAGGCGGCGCGGUAAGUCACUUGUGAAAUCUCUGAGCUUAACUGUAGAACUGCCUUUGAUACUUUUAGUCUUGAGUUCGGGAGAGAGAGACGGAAUUCCAGGUGUAGUGGUGAAAUACGUAGAUAUCUGGAAGAACACCAGUUGCGAAGGCGGUCUCUUGGUCCGACACUGACGCUGAGGCGCGAAAGCGUGGGGAGCAAACA